CGUGCUCCCUCGGCCUCAGCUAUGCCCCUGGCAGUGUCCGGCCUUAGCGGCUCCUGGCUCUGUGGAGGAUGCUUUCCCCACCACGGCUGGGUCAUCUCCUGCCUUCUCCUGCAAGUGUGUUAGCAAAUCCUACCCUUCUCUUCUUGGUGGUGAAUGUGGUCCCUCAGGAAUGGAAGGAUGACCAAAGGUGGAGGGAUUGUAAAUAAGUUUGUCCUAAACCUGGUUCUAUCCUCAAAUGGUAAGAUUUGACCUAACCUGGACUCCAGACAUGUGGCUUACAUGAUAUUCCACAUAUCAGCCGGUCAUCACAUUUAGCCCGAGAAUGUUGCCGAGGGACUGAGCCUCAGGCAGCCUCGGGCCCACGGCUGCCCAAACAAGGUGAAUGAUGAACUGUGCCAAUCAAUUAAUCUUUGCAAAUCAUUCCUUGUUUGUUUGGUUUGGGGGUCUCAUCACCUCCUGACUCACCAUGUUACACGUAGGGAUGUUCUGAGCUAUCACUGGAGUUGAAAUCCUCUUCUAUGUUUUGCUCAAAUAAAGCUUGUUAAUGAACUUUUAAAAAAGAAUGGGAAGAAUUGAGGCAAUGAAAAGGGAUGGUGAAGUGCCUGGAGGCCAGCAGCGACAGGAAUCCACCAUGCUCUCGGGGAGACCAGAUGCUGUCUGAUCAGGUCUGUAAUCGCACACGGCCCAUUGUUAUUUCAGUGGGACAGGAAAAACAGUACCACUCUUGAUCAAAAGGGCCUCGGGAAAGACAGGAUUAAAAUUCAGGAAAACACGAAAUGAAGAAGCAGAUGAAUGGAUCUGACUGACCAUAACAAGACUGGCAGGCCGUGAGCAGCUGUGAGCACAAGAACAGUUAUUACCUGAGGGCGUAUAUCUCAAAAUGAACUCAUGUCCCCAAAGAGCAUCAGCAUUUUACAUCUGCUGAGAACAAUUGCUAAAUUUCCUCUGUGAAAGCUGUCAAGUGCUUGAUAAUCACCGGGGAAGGAACUUCUGCUGUUUUAAAGCCACCCAGCUUGUGAUCAUUCGUCACGGCAGCCUUUGGAGAAAAGCAUGCAGUAUCUUCAUCCAAAACCAGAAGGUGCUCACUGUGCAGGGUGGCGAGAAGAACCUCUCGGGCCCCAGCAACGUGUUUCUCCUCUCAGUGUGGGUGCUGCGUGACCUCUGCUCUGUAAUUCGUGAUAACCGCGUGGCUCUGACGUCUUUCUUAUGGUGGAUUUUUCUCCUAGGUACCAGGGGUAAAUUGAGGUCUGGCUCCUUCUCCAAAGCAUACGCUACUGACUUUUCCAUUCUAGUUUUACCUUCUCUCUUUUUCCAGAAUAAAGAUGAAGC